GUGCUUGCUUUGACAGCACAUACACUAAAAUUGGAAUAAUACAGAAAAGAUAAGCAUGACCCCUGCACAAGGAGAACAUUCAAAUUCAUAAGCAUUUCAUUUAA